UCUUCCAUGACAUGCUAUGGAUUGCUAUUACUUUAUUCCUAUCCCAUGAAGUAAUAUGGGUUUCUAUUACUCUAUAUAUUCCAUGACUUGAUAUGGAUUACUUUGCAUUUAUUUUCUUUUAUCUUUAUCUCCCAUUACAUGAUAUGGAUUGUUAUUGCUUUAUUCCUCUCCCAUUACGUAAUAUGGAUUGCUAUUACUCUAUUUCUUCCAUGACUUGAUAUGUAUUACUUUGCCUUUAUAUUCUUUUAUCUUUCUGUCCCAUGACAUGAUAUGG
rnacentral:lncRNA from 1 species